rnacentral:rRNA from 1 species
CAGUAGCCGCGGUAAUACGUAGGUGGCAAGCGUUGUCCGGAAUUAUUGGGCGUGAAGGGCUCGCAGGCGGUUUCUUAAGUCUGAUGUGAAAGCCCCCGGCUCAACCGGGGAGGGUCAAUGGAAACUGGGAAACUUGAGUGCAGAAGAGGAGAGUGGAAUUCCACGUGUAGCGGUGAAAUGCGUAGAGAUGUGGAGGAACACCAGUGGCGAAGGCGACUCUCUGGUCUGUAACUGACGCUGAGGAGCGAAAGCGUGGGGAGCGAACAGGAUUAGAGACCCCAGUAGUCCCUGUCUCUUAUAC